UACGUAGGCAGCAAGCGUUGUUCGGAGUUACUGGGCGUAAAGGGUGUGUAGGCGGUUGGAUAAGUGUGGUGUGAAAUCUCCCGGCUUAACUGGGAGGGUGCGCUACAAACUGUCUGACUAGAGUGUGGGAUGGGUAAGUGGAAUUCCUGGUGUAGCGGUGAAAUGCGUAGAUAUCAGGAGGAACACCGGUGGUGUAGACGGCUUACUGGCCCGGUACUGACGCUGAGGUGCGAAAGCGUGGGGAGCAAACAGG
rnacentral:rRNA from 1 species